CGGCCGCUGAGGAGGAGGAGGAGCGGGCCGCGGGGGCUACGCUGCCUUGGAAACCCUUAUAAAUCCAUGAAGACCUUUCAGUAGCUACAAGAAAAGUCCUGGAGAUAAGUUCUCAGCUUCAUUUAGGUUACAUGCCUGUCUUCAAAGCAAUCACUGGUACUACCCUGCUAGAGUUUGGUAGGAAAAAUAUCUACUUACUGAAGCUUUCUUGACAUAGAAAGAGAUGUGGGGGGAUUCUCGAUCUGCUAACAGAACAGGACCUUUUCGUGGGAGCCAAGAAGAAAGGUUUGCUCCCGGGUGGAACAGGGACUAUCCUCCUCCUCCCCUUAAGAGCCAUGCUCAAGAGAGACACCCGGGCAACUUUCCUGGCAGAGAUUCACUUCCCUUUGAUUUCCAGGGGCAUUCAGGACCUCCCUUUGCAAAUGUAGAGGAGCAUUCUUUCAGCUAUGGAGCUAGAGAU
rnacentral:lncRNA from 1 species